rnacentral:rRNA from 1 species
UACAGGGGGUGCAAACGUUGCUCGGAAUCAUUGGGCGUAAAGCGCACGUAGGCGGCCAACUAAGUCAGACGUGAAAUCCCUCGGCUUAACCGGGGAACUGCGUCUGAUACUGGAUGGCUUGAGUUUGGGAGAGGGAUGCGGAAUUCCAGGUGUAGCGGUGAAAUGCGUAGAUAUCUGGAGGAACACCGGUGGCGAAGGCGGCAUCCUGGACCAACACUGACGCUGAUGAGCGAAAGCCAGGGGAGCAAACGGG